ACUCAAAUGAAUAGACGGGGACCCGCACAAGCGGUGGAGCAUGUGGUUUAAUUCGAGGCUACGCGAAGAACCUUACCCAGGCUUGACAUGGUUAAGACAGCCGAUGAAAGUCGGUUUCUCCGCAAGGAGCUUUUCCACAGGUGCUGCAUGGCUGUCGUCAGCUCGUGCUGUGAAGUGUUGGGUUAAGUCCCGCAACGAGCGCAACCUUUAUCGUUAGUUGCCAUCAGGUAAUGCUGGGCACUCUAGCGAGACUGCCGGCGAUUAGCUGGAGGAAGGAGGAGAUGACGUCAAGUCAGUAUGGCCCUUAUGCCUGGGGCUACACACGUGCUACAAUGGCCACUACAAAGCGCUGCAAACCCGCGAGGGGGAGCUAAUCGCAAAAAAGUGGCCUCAGUUCAGAUUGGAGGCUGCAAUUCGCCUCCAUGAAGUCGGAAUCGCUAGUAACGGUAGAUCAGCUACGCUACCGUGAAUACGUUCCCGGGUCUUGUACACACCGCCCGU
rnacentral:rRNA from 1 species